CCCAGCCCGAGCUCAGUGCCUCCUCCAGAAGCCAACUGGGAGCUCUGGACUAAGGUAGGGUUCAGGUCUAGGGGCUGGCCUUUGGGGAGGCAGGACAGCCAGCAGCUGCCAGGAAAUCCAGGCACAGGAAGUCGUGGGGUGGGGUCUUGGUAUUCUCCCAGGGUGGGCGGGACCAGAGGAAGCCACUAACAAAGUCUUAGGCCUGUGGGUAUUUUUCUCUCCCAGCCCUUCUGAGCACGUGGUAUUCCCUUGCUUUGGGACCUGGGCCCUUUGUGGUAGCAGAAUCAGAGCACAGAGGACAAUGCCUGGGGGCUUAUAGUAAGACCCAGAGUGUUGCUGGAGGUCUCAGGUCUAUCCAAAUUGGAGCUAGUAGAGCCUGAAGAAAAGUGGAACCACCCAGCCAAGCCAAGAAGGGUUAGUACUUCUGCUUUGAGAGCAGACCUCACACAAACAGAUGGGAAGCAGAAACGAGGGAAGAGGAUUGAAGAUGAACCCACGUUUUAAAAGUCCUUGUCUGCAGGAGGUGGCAUUACCUGUGACCUCGCUUCACUUCUUCAUACAUGGCUGUUGUAGCAGUCUUUCUUCUGCUUCCCUUGUCACACCAUUAGCAAUAUCCCUGGGUAAGUCACCUGGGAUUAAGUUUAAAAACCAUCUUGACAUUUUUCUGCUUACAUUGGAUGAACUUAGACUGAGAUUUCUUUAAAUAUUUAAUUUAUUUGUUUUGCUGCAGGGUAAAUUCUAGAAGAACUUCUAAUGGCCUUUCCUUUGCACAGUUCACCUGAAUUCUUUUUGUUCUCAAAAGAAAGACCCUGCUUUCAGACAUAAAAGUUAUGAUAGUAAAAUUCUUGAAAUAAUUUUGUGCCCCAUGGUAAUUCUAUGUUUAAAUAGGUGAAGCAUUGCCAAACUGUUUUCCAUGGCAGUUGCAUAUUUUGAAUUCAGGUCAGCACAGUUCCUACACCCUCACCAAUUGUUGUACUUUCCUUUCUUUUAUUUUUUACAUUAUAGUGGGCAUAAAGAGGUAUUGCUUAGUGGUUUUAAUUUACAAUUCUGUUUUGACUGUUAUGUAUCUUUUCAUGUUCUUAACGGCCAUUUAUAUAUCUUCUUGUGAGAAAUGUAUAUUCAAGUCCUUUUCCUAUUUUUUGAAUUGGGUUGUCAUUUCAUUCUUGGGUUCUUUAUGUACUAUAGAUCCUAGAACUUUGGAAGAUAAAUAAUUUGCAAAUAUUUUCUUCCAAACUAUGGUGGAGGUAAUGAAGAUAAUGGUGACCUCCCUCAAAAGAUCCCAUGCAUGUACUGCUACGCUCAGUGCCCCCAACCCUGCAGCAGGCCACCAUGACCCACGCCUCCACUGGAGACUCCUGGACACACACAGGCAAGU
rnacentral:lncRNA from 1 species